AACGCACGAGACCUGCGGACCUGCGGAAGGAUCAUUACCGAGUUUACAACUCCCAAACCCCAUGUGAACAUACCUGUUUCGUUCCCUCGGCGGUGUCCGGCAACGGCCCGCCAGAGGACCCAACAAACUCUUUUGAAUUUUUCAGUAUCUUCUGAGUGAAAAAAACAAUAAAUCAAAACUUUCAGCAACGGAUCUCU
rnacentral:misc_RNA from 1 species